CAGGCUCGCGCGGCAGCCUCGCGAGCCAAAUGCCUCGGCUGGUGUGGACGUGCCUCGGCCUGCCUCGGGCGCGCGUUUGCUCGACCGAGCACGGCUCGGCCCCGAGCCAUCUGUUGUCGGUAAACUUAACGCGCUCAAAGGUGCCUCAGUGAGCGCUGUGCGUUAGGUGGGGACGGAUGUGUUUUGGCUCGCGCGCGAAGCUGCUUCAAGUUUUGUCUCUUGCCGUGUUUGUCUUCUGUUAUUUUGAUAUCAUGGGCAGUCAGGAGGAGUCCAUUCGCUUAAUACAACUGUACAGCACGUACAAUGCGCUUUGGGACCCCAAAGAUCCAAAAUAUUUAAACAAAAAUCAGCGGGAAGACAGUUGGCGGCAAAUAUCUGCUCAAAUUAAUAUGCCUGUCAAGGAAGUGAAAAACAAAAUGGUGUCCUUGUGUGGUUCUUAUCGUCGAGAGAAAAGCAGGGAGAAAAAAAGUCGUAUAGCAGGUUCAGGCGCUGCAGAUGUUUAUAAUUCAAAGUGGUUUGGAUAUCCUUAUUUCCAUUUUCUUAAGGAUAAAAAUGAAACUGGUGACACUCGGGAAACGAUGCCGACUGUAAGAAUUUUUAACUAUGCAUAAUGAUUUUGAAAUGGUAUAGAACCAUUAGUUAUAAAAUGUUCUGCCAAGUGCAACCGUAUUUCUUUUGCGUUAUUAGAACUACGCCUUGGACACGCUGCAAUUGGUGCGAAUGUAACUUCAUUUAUUUCAUUUCUCCAUUGGCCAGGAAUCAUUGCGCCAUCAAGUUCUCUGUCAAACAAUUCCGGUGAAAUAAGAUUAGUUGAAGUAUUUUUUCGGAUGUAGUUGUACAAAUAUACAGCUGCUAAGACUACCUUUGUUGCUUUAUUUGGCUCUAGUAAGAUAGGUUUUCUAAAAACGCGAAAUAUGGCACUUAAUAUUCCAAAUGCAUUCUCAACGACACGCCGAGCUCGGCUAAGGCGAUAAUUAAAUAUUCUUUCUUUAGAACCAUUUUCUGGGUUGCCCUCAAAUGGUUUCAUGGUAUAUUCGUUGAGUGCAAAGGCUUUAUCAGAUAAAAUAAAAUAAGGAACUUUUGUUACAUAUGGUAUUUCCAAUAUCUUCUCU